AUGGAAAUCGAAUCAACCUUAUUUUGCACAAAAUCUUUAAAAAUAGCACGUACCGUGGGGGGUCCAGUGUUAAUCAGCGCUGAAGGGGGCAGGAGGCAGCUGGAGGUAGGGAGAGCAUCUUCCCUUCCUUCCCGGGAGCCCAGGGGUCCCUGCAGGGCCUGCGCCCCCACCCCGGGCCACCCCGCGGUCGGAGGACGAGGUGCCGCAGGAACCUCUUGCUUUUUCACUGGGGAAUCUGUAAGGAGGAGAGCAGGGCUGCCCCCCCAACGUGUCAGCAGGGCACCGUGUCCAAGCGCAGAAUCGCCCGCGGGGCCCCCACGGGGACGGGGCACGCGUCCUUCCCGACGGUUCUAUCUCAAAGCAACGGCCCUGGGGUCCUUGGGAAGACGCACCCACUUGUGCGAGGUGCGCAGACGUCCCCGGGGGCAGGAAGCGUUCACGGUUCUGAGUCCUUUUCCGUCCAGGCUCCAAGCUGGGCCAGGUGUUGGCCGAGCGGAGAAUUGUCCUGGCAGCUCCACGUUCUCAGGGGUCUCCGGGGCCUGGGGCUGUCCCGGGGCUCGCGGCUGAGGGGGCCUCCAUCCGGGGUCCCGGGGCCCUGGGUUUGGGUGGAGUCCUCGCCUGCCCGGGGCUCCGCAGCGCUCUGGCUGACUGCGCCGUGAGACGCAAACCCAAACCCUCCCGGGUCCCUGCAGUGGGGCCGUAACCCGCGUGGUGCCCCUGAAGACGCAUCCUCCGGCCCCGCCCUCGAGCGCGCCAACACUCUAAAAUCUGAGCGGUGAUGAGGGAGCUGGGCUCACGCUCACAAACGACCCAAGAGAAAAAUGCUUUGACGUAUCAGAAUACACGGCGUGCCCGUCGCCACCGUCUGGGGGUCCGACGAUGCAAUAGCAUGACCCGGGGGGCUGCUUCCUCCCGGGCUCAGGCCGCGGGCGUCCGGGGGGUGCGGGAGGGUCGGGCCCAGGGCUGAGUGUCCGUUGUGUGUGUGCGUGUGCAAGUCCCGCAGACAGAGGCCCUUUCUCUCUGCCGACCUGGCCCUCGAUCUCCUCCUGGUCCCCCCUCGGCGGGACGGCGUCCAGGAGGGGACGGGAAGACGCGGCGCUGCAGGAGGUUGAGCCUCGCACAGCAAGGCCUGUCGAUCCUCCCGAUUCUGCUCACAGGACUCGUCUCUGCUGCGAGCUUUGCAAGAGGUCAGGGCACAGCGGCUUGUGACCGGAGACACGGACGUCUUUGGUUCCCGGGCCCGGCCCUGUGUGUCUCCCUCUGUCUCGCUGCCUAGUGACUGCCCCGUGUUUGGCGCCGUUCAGGGGCCCCGUGCCUGGGUUCAGGCCUCAGAGACUCAGGCCGCAGAAGGAGGGACGGUCAGCCUGUGUCCGUGCACUCGAGCAGCCGAGGAGGUGAGUGUGUCCUGGAGGAGCCGAGGGGGAGGAGACAGAGGCACAGUGAGGGGUGCAGAGGUGAGGACCCCCCACCCCGGGCAGCGGGAGCAGGGCCAGCACGGCGGGCCGGGGCCUGCGGGUCGGGGAGGCGCCCGGGAAACCCUCCGAUUGUUCACCAGUUGGAAGGAACCAGCAGAUACAAGUCAAAGUGGAGGAAUUAAAACAUCGCGGUGCUUAGUGCAGCUGCGAGGGCGGAUGAUGCUGAGGCACGCACACGCACGCACACAUGGCUGCACGGUG
rnacentral:lncRNA from 1 species